UACGGAGGGUGCAAGCGUUAUCCGGAUUCACUGGGUUUAAAGGGUGCGUAGGCGGGUUGGGAAGUCCGUGGUGAAAUCUCCAAGCUUAACUUGGAAACUGCCGUGGAUACUAUCAAUCUUGAAUAUCGUGGAGGUGAGCGGAAUAUGUCAUGUAGCGGUGAAAUGCUUAGAUAUGACAUAGAACACCCAUUGCGAAGGCAGCUCGCUACACGGUUAUUGACGCUGAGGCACGAAAGCGUGGGGAUCAAACAGG
rnacentral:rRNA from 1 species